UACGGAGGGUGCGAGCGUUUGUCCGGAAUCACUGGGCGUAAAGGGCGCGUAGGUGGCGCGGGCAGUCAACGGUGAAAGUUCGGGGCUCAACCCUGAAUCGGCCGUCGAUACUCCCGGGCUGGAGCACUGUAGAGGCUAAUGGAAUUCCGGGUGUAGCGGUGGAAUGCGUAGAGAUCCGGAAGAACACCGGUGGCGAAGGCGGUUAGCUGGGCAGUUGCUGGACACUGAGGCGCGACAGCGUGGGGAGCAAACAGG
rnacentral:rRNA from 1 species